AGUGAACGCUGGCGGCAGGCCUAAUACAUGCAAGUCGAACGGCAGCACAGCAGAGCUUGCUCUGUGGGUGGCGAGUGGCGGACGGGUGAGGAAUACAUGGGAAUCUGCCCAGUCGUGGGGGAUAACGUAUGGAAACGUACGCUAAUACCGCAUGCGCCCUAAGGGGGAAAGCCGGGACCGCAAGGCCUGGCGCGAUUGGAUGAGCCCAUGUUCGAUUAGCUGGUUGGCGGGGUAAAGGCCCACCAAGGCGACGAUCGAUAGCUGGUCUGAGAGGAUGAUCAGCCACACUGGAACUGAGACACGGUCCAGACUCCUACGGGAGGCAGCAGUAGGGAAUAUUGGACAAUGGGGGCAACCCUGAUCCAGCCAUGCCGCGUGAGUGAAGAAGGCCCUCGGGUUGUAAAGCUCUUUUGUCCGGAAAGAAAAGCAUCUGGUUAAUACCCGGGUGUUCUGACGGUACC
rnacentral:rRNA from 1 species